GUGAGGAAUAUUGGUCAAUGGACGCGAGUCUGAACCAGCCAAGUAGCGUGAAGGAUGACUGCCCUAUGGGUUGUAAACUUCUUUUAUAAGGGAAUAAAGUGAGGAACGUGUCCCUUUUUGUAUGUACCUUAUGAAUAAGGAUCGGCUAACUCCGUGCCAGCAGCCGCGGUAAUACAGAGGUCUCAAGCGUUGUUCGGAAUUAUUGGGCGUAAAGGGCGCGUAGGCGGGAAGGUGUGUCGACCUGUAAAUCUAUCGUUUCAAGCGGUAGGCUUGGGUUGAAACUGCCUUUCUAGAGGAUUUCAGGGGAGUUUGGAAUUUACGGUGUAGCAGUGAAAUGCGUGGAUAUCGUAAGGAAGGCUUGUGGCGAAGGCGAAACUCUGGGGAAUACCUAACGCUGAGGCGCGAAGGCUAGGUUAGCAAACGGGAUUAGAUACCCCAGUAGUCC
rnacentral:rRNA from 1 species